UGUAAGCGUAUACCAAAGUUGUUGCAGUUAAAACGCUCGUAGUCGGAAUUUGGCAGUUCCGGAUGUGUGCACGUCGUGUGCGCACUUCGCGGGGAUUGCUUUUGUGGUCUUGCGUAGGAUGAGGCACUUUUAUUAGUGAACGUCCUCACGCAACCACUUUUUACUGUGAGAAAAUCAGAGUGCUCAAAGCAGGCAUUUGCCGUGAAUGUAUUAGCAUGGAAGAAUAGAAUAGGACUUGGUUCUAUUUUGUUGGUUUGUUGGGACUGAGUAAUGAUUAAGAGGGACAGUUGGGGGCAUUUGUAUUUCGGUGCUAGAGGUGAAAUUCUUAGAUUACCGAAAGACAAACUGCUGCGAAAGCGUCUGCCAAGGAUGUUUUCAUUGA
rnacentral:rRNA from 1 species